rnacentral:rRNA from 1 species
ACUCCUACGGGAGGCAGCAGUGGGGAAUUUUGGACAAUGGGCGCAAGCCUGAUCCAGCAAUGCCGCGUGAGUGAAGAAGGCCUUCGGGUUGUAAAGCUCUUUCAGUUGAAAAGAAAAAGUCGUGACUAAUAAUCAUGGCUCAUGACGGUAUCAACAGAAGAAGCACCGGCUGACUACGUGCCAGCAGCCGCGGUAAUACGUAGGGUGCAAGCGUUAAUCGGAAUUACUGGGCGUAAUGGGUGCGCAGGCGGUUCUGUAAGUCAGAUGUGAAAUCCCCGGGCUUAACCUGGGAACUGCGUUUGAAACUGCAGAGCUAGAGUGCGGCAGAGGGAGGUGGAAUUCCAUGUGUAGCAGUGAAAUGCGUAGAGAUAUGGAAGAACAUCGAUGGCGAAGGCAACCUCCUGGGCUAGCACUGACGCUCAUGCACGAUAGCGUGGGGAGCAAACAGGAUUAGAUACCCUGGUAGUCCACGCCCUAAACUAUGUCAACUAGUUUUCGGGUCUUAAUAGACUUGGUAACGUAGCUAACGCGUGAAGUUGACCGCCUGGGGAGUACGGUCGCAAGAUUAAAACUCAAAGGAAUUGACGGGGACCCGCACAAGCGGUGGAUUAUGUGGAUUAAUUCGAUGCAACGCGAAAAACCUUACCUACCCUUGACAUGUCAGAAAACUUUCAGAGAUGAAUUUGUGCCCGAAAGGGAAUCUGAACACAGGUGCUGCAUGACUGUCGUCAAGCUCGUGUCGUGAGAUGUUGGGUUAAGUCCGCAACGAGCGCAACCCUUG